GAUGAACGCUGGCGGCGUGCCUAAUACAUGCAAGUCGAGCGAAGCGGGGACGGGUGAGUCCAACGUGGAUAACCUUCUAUAUGACUGGGAUAACUUCGGGAAACCGGAGCCACCACGGAUACUCAAAGCUGGUUCCGCGGUGGAUUAGCUAGUUGGUAAGGUAACGGCUUACCAAGGCCACGAGGCAUAGCCGACCGGAGAGGUUGAUCGGCCACACUGGAACUGAGACACGGUCCAGACUCCUACGGUAGGCAGCAGUGGGUAAUCUUCCGCAAUGGGCGAAAGCCUGACGGAGCAACGCCGCGUGAGUGAUGAAGGUCUUCGGAUCGUAAAACUCUGUUAUUAGGGAAGCGGUACCUAAACAAAAAGCCACGGCUAACUACGUGCCAGCAGCCGCGGUAAUAC
rnacentral:rRNA from 1 species